rnacentral:rRNA from 1 species
GAUGAACGCUGGCGGCGUGCCUAACACAUGCAAGUCGAACGGAGUCGUUUUGGAAAUCUCUUCGGAGAUGGAAUUCUCGACUUAGUGGCGGACGGGUGAGUAACGCGUGAGCAAUCUGCCUUUAAGAGGGGGAUAACAGUCGGAAACGGCUGCUAAUACCGCAUAAAGCAUUAAAUUCGCAUGUUUUUGAUGCCAAAGGAGCAAUCCGCUUUUAGAUGAGCUCGCGUCUGAUUAGCUAGUUGGCGGGGUAACGGCCCACCAAGGCGACGAUCAGUAGCCGGACUGAGAGGUUGAACGGCCACAUUGGGACUGAGACACGGCCCAGACUCCUACGGGAGGCAGCAGUGGGGAAUAUUGCGCAAUGGGGGAAACCCUGACGCAGCAACGCCGCGUGAUUGAAGAAGGCCUUCGGGUUGUAAAGAUCUUUAAUCAGGGACGAAACAAAUGACGGGACCUGAAGAAUAAGCUCCGGCUAACUACG